CGCGGGGAUCCUGAGGGCGCGCCGCCCUCGGCCGGCGGGGAGCGGGAAAGGAGUCACAGGACCAGGGAAUUAUUAGGGUUGGAACGGACCUCGGAGGAUCACCCUGUCCUACCCCCCUGCCAAGGCGGGGUCACCCAGAGCAGGUGACGCUGGAAUGUGUCCAGAAUCACAAAAUGGUUGAGAUUGGAAGGCACCUCUKGAGAUCCUCUGGUCCAACCUCUCUGCUCAUCUGGAGCAGKCUGUACAGGAUCAAAUCCAGGUUAAACAGGCCCAGCUCUCCCGGUCUGUCCUCACAACUCCAGACCCCUGAUGGUCUCCACAGACCUUUCUUGUCCUGAGGGGCCCAGAACUGGACACAGCACUCCAGAGGUGGCCUCACCAAGGAGGUCACUGAUGAGUAACUUGAACAAGCCUGGCCCUUGGGGACACCAUAGCUGCAGGCCUCCAGUGAGACUCUGAUCACAAUCCUGAGCUCUGCCAUUCAGCAAGAUCUCAGUCCAUGGGGUUUCUCUCUUCUUUAUCAUCCAUUCAGGUUGAAUGUAAAGUGGCAGUCAUUURUAUGUGAUAACUGUGCUCUCAGCCCCUCAAGAUAAUUCUCUACACAUUUUUUAAUUGUUUUAAUUUAGUUCAGUAAUCUCCUCUCUGCCCCCCUUUGUACUGUAAAAUUGAUUAGAGACUUCACUAGAGAAUACAGAAUGACACGCUAAUACAACCUUAGAAAGAGGAAAAACUAUUCUAGGCUUCUUUUACAGCUUGCAUGACAUUUAAAUGCAUAUUUGAUAUUGUCUUUUUCACAGACUGUGUUUUAAAUUGCUGUUUAUAACUUUCCUUCAUGGAGGAUGUUAGGUUAGUCAAUAAAAUGUUACAAAAGCAUAAAUUUCUAGAAGGUGCAAAAGCCAUUCAACUCCUCCUCCUGUAUUGCUUCAGAUGAAUUUAUUCUUGCAUGCAAGAGACCUUAAAUCUGCCAAAGUAGACAAUUUUUGGUACUUACACAAUAUGUGUACUUGUUGCCCUUGAGAAAAACACCAGGAUAUGGUAAAUCAUUGGACACAUGUAGAGUUCAAGUUUAAUCAAGGAYCAGUCAACUUGUAACUACUGUUCAAAUAUUAAAAUACUCUUUGUCUAUUAAAAUAAAUACAGGA